AGCUAGAUUCUAAGCUACACCUGCUUGACCACAUGAAAGGGAAGGUGAGGGAUCUUGGCAUUUUCCUAUGCCACUUUACACCUGUAAGACCAAUCAGGAAUGCAGGUAGACUAUUUAGCUAUGAGUUAAUGAGUUUACUCUGUGUUACUGGACCAUCUAAUAAUAAACCAGUAAGUGACCAACCCAUUAUAAAAAUGAAUGCUUAUAAGAACUUUACUUUCUCUAGAUCUUUUGUGCUAAUCCAGGUCUCUGGGAGUCCUGCGUGGUAUCAUAGAUGGUGCAUGGGUAUCCAUUUGUACCAACAGUAUCUAGAUUCUACUAUGUGUUGGCACGUGGUUUUAGUAUACGGAAUCCCUUUCAUCGUUUGUAUUUAUUUUAUCAUUUAUUGAUUCUAUGACCACAGGAGUUUUCCAUUUCA